rnacentral:rRNA from 6 species
AAUCCAUAGGUUAAUGAGGCGAACCGGGGGAACUGAAACAUCUAAGUACCCCGAGGAAAAGAAAUCAACCGAGAUUCCCCCAGUAGCGGCGAGCGAACGGGGAGGAGCCCAGAGCCUGAAUCAGCAUGUGUGUUAGUGGAAGCGUCUGGAAAGGCGCGCGAUACAGGGUGACAGCCCCGUACACAAAAGCGCAUGUGCUGUGAGCUCGAUGAGUAGGGCGGGACACGUGGUAUCCUGUCUGAAUAUGGGGGGACCAUCCUCCAAGGCUAAAUACUCCUGACUGACCGAUAGUGAACCAGUACCGUGAGGGAAAGGCGAAAAGAACCCCGGCGAGGGGAGUGAAAAAGAACCUGAAACCGUGUACGUACAAGCAGUGGGAGCACAGGUUUACCUGUGUGACUGCGUA